CAAACCUCAAGCUCUGCUUGGUAUUGGGUCCGGCCCCCGGCCUCCGGGGAGGCCGUCCUGAAAGUCAGCGGCGAGGCUGUCCAGCUUCAGGCGUAGUAGAACCUUUCGUCUCGCCUUGCGAGCCUGGGCCGCCCUCGCCGGAUAACCUUUAUCCACAA
rnacentral:misc_RNA from 1 species